ACAGCAUAUAGUAAAUUGAUUUUAAUGUUUAUAUACAGCCUAAGGAUCCCUCACACAGUGGAGGGAGUUGUUUCUAGAUGUCGUUGCAACUGUAUUAACUACCUAAGCCCCAGAAUAGGGGCCAGCGGCUGAGGCAGCAGUCGUUCAUAGGAGGAGGAAUUGGAGGAAGAGGAAGAAGGAUAAGCUGCUAUGGUAACAACAGCGGUAGUAGCUGUACUAGUAGCCGCUGUAGCCAUCGUUAACGCUGUGUGCAGACGGUGUUCUAGGCACUUCCUAUACAGCAACGUACAAUCUGUACAGCAAACUUGAGAGGUAGCACUGUUAUUUCCUUCUUACAGAAGAGGAAACAAAGGCUGUGACGGGCGAAGUAACCAUUGGGGAACACAUUUGAAGAAUAAGAACAAUGACGGACACCAUGUUACACGCUUCUCAGCUAUUGACAGGCAUCAUCCCGUUGAAGUCUUCCGGUGAUCCCAGAAGUAGGCCUCUUUAUUAUGCCAGGUGAACACAUUCUUUUGAUCACAUCUCCCGAACAAGCAUGAGACUUUCCAGGUGACAUUUCUCUUCUUGGCCCAGAAUACAGAGUAUGGUGCUACUAACCAGAGCCCCUGGACUGAGGAAAGCAUUCUCCUGCACAGAGCCCAAGGAGACCAAGAGGGGCAACAGAGGAGGAACUGUACUUUGUGUCUUUGAAAGCGGGUCCUAUGCAGCGGUCCGACCGGCCACGGGAACUGGCUGAAGACCACUCACGUGCUCACGCUGUAUUCUGUGCUCGGAUCCACCUGUCAUGAUGGACACCUUACAGCAACAGGUGAGGAUAUCAGAACUAGUUACAUUUAAGAGCUCAGGUUGGAGCUGGAGCCCCCCGGCAGGGCAGCAAGGACAACCAACGUACAGAGAAGAAUGACUAAAAUAAGCUGGACUCUGGCUUCCGCACAGAAAUGUUGUUUCUUCUUAGAACAGAGAAAUUAACAAGACCUGUUGAUAGUGAGUGGGGGCAGGUCUCCCAUACUCCCCCUUCUCCUCCACUCCCUGGGGUUUGGGAGCCCAGGGAGGCUUAGAUAGAUGGCCUACGUCAUCAGGACUGCUUGCAGCCCACAAGGAUCUAGCUUAGCUAGAGUCUGGAUACCAGAACCCCAGCUCAGAAUUUCAGAACUGUCUGGGAAGUUUCCACAGAUCUGAAUCUGUGACCUGGAAACAGGCUUUUACCACAUAUCCUCAAGUAAUGUGACGGGCCAGCUUGUAAAGUGAUCCUAAGGAAAGCUCAAAUCCUCUGCUUCAACCAGGUGGAGGGAAGGAGUGAGCGGAAGAAAAGCGAGGAACCUGGAAAGAAAAAGGCCCCAAAAGACGUGUGAAAGGAAAGCUCACAAAGCACCUUUUUAAGAAGGCUUUAAGCUGGAGUUGACAGGCAAGGCACCAGCAGACGCAUAUGGGCAGGUUAAUGUCCCUAAAAUCAAGCAGGAGCCAGUAAUAACAGGGUCAGGCAAAUAGAAAGUUACAGCUGGUAAGGAAGUCUGUGCAGUACAGCAUGAGAUGUAGCAAUUAUUCUGCGUAUAAGGCCUGGCUCUCCAGCUCUGGGCACAGACACUGGGGCCAGAGAUAGAUUCUGCUUCUCAUAAAGCAUCGUCUUCCCUCUGGGAAAGAUCCUUGGAGAAUUAGGAGGGCUUUACAGCAAAGUCAAGCAUUAUCUAUACUUACUGGGUCCUGGAGGCCAGGUUAGAAGCUGCGUGCCUGGUUAU
ensembl:lncRNA